ARGAUWAACUCCCAAACCCAAUGUGAACGUUACCAAACUGUUGCCUCGGCGGGGUCACGCCCCGGGUGCGUCSYAGCCCCGGAACCAGGCGCCCGCCGGAGGAACCAACCAAACUCUUUCUGUAGUCCCCUCGCGGACGUAUUUCUUUACAGCUCUGAGCAAAAAUUCAAAAUGAAUCAAAACUUUCAACAACGGAUCUCUUGGYUCUGGCAUCGAUGAAGAACGCAGCGAAAUGCGAUAAGUAAUGUGAAUUGCAGAAUUCAGUGAAUCAUCGAAUCUUUGAACGCACAUUGCGCCCGCCAGUAUUCUGGCGGGCAUGCCUGUCCGAGCGUCAUUUCAACCCUCGAACCCCUCCGGGGGAUCGGCGUUGGGGAUCGGGACCCCUCACACGGGUGCCGGCCCCUAAAUACAGUGGCGGUCUCGCCGCAGCCUCUCCUGCGCAGUAGUUUGCACAACUCGCACCGGGAGCGCGGCGCGUCCACGUCCGUAAAACACCCAACUUUCUGAAAUGUUGACCUCGGAUCAGGUAGGAAUACCCGCUGAACUUAAGCAUAUCAAUAAGCGGARGAA
rnacentral:rRNA from 1 species